rnacentral:pre_miRNA from 1 species
ACAAGAUUGGAUCGCCAGUCUACCGAGCAAUAUCACUCGCUCGGUGGAAGAUCUUCCCUAGGCGU